rnacentral:rRNA from 1 species
CCUACGGGAGGCUGCAGUAGGGAAUCUUCCACAAUGGGCGCAAGCCUGAUGCAGCAACACCGCGUGAGUGAAGAAGGGUUUCGGCUCGUAAAGCUCUGUUGUUGGAGAAGAACGUGCGUGAGAGUAACUGUUCACGCCGUGACGGUAUCCAACCAGAAAGCCCCGGCUAACUACGUGCCAGCAGCCGCGGUAAUACGGAGGUGGCAAGCGUUAUCCGGAUUUAUUGGGCGUAACGCGAGCGCAGGCGGUUGCUUAGGUCUGAUGUGAAAGCCAUCGGCUUAACCGAAGAAAUGCAUCGGAAACCGGGCAACUUGAGUGCAGAAGAGGACAGGGGAACUCCAGGUGUAGCGGUGGAAUGCGUAGAUAUAUGGAGGAACACCAGUGGCGAAGGCGGCUGUCUGGUCUGCAACUGACGCUGAGGAUCGAAAGCAUGGGUAGCGAACAGGAUUAGAUACCCGUGUAGUC